UACGGAGGGUGCGAGCGUUAAUCGGAAUUACUGGGCGUAAAGCGCACGCAGGCGGUUUGUUAAGCUAGGUGUGAAAGCCCCGGGCUCAACCUGGGAUGGUCAUUUAGAACUGGCAGACUAGAGUCUUGGAGAGGGGAGUGGAAUUCCAGGUGUAGCGGUGAAAUGCGUAGAUAUCUGGAGGAACAUCAGUGGCGAAGGCGACUCCCUGGCCAAAGACUGACGCUCAUGUGCGAAAGUGUGGGUAGCGAACAGG
rnacentral:rRNA from 1 species